rnacentral:rRNA from 1 species
UACGAAGGGGGCUAGCGUUGCUCGGAAUCACUGGGCGUAAAGCGCACGUAGGCGGACUCUUAAGUCGGUGGUGAAAUCCUGGAGCUCAACUCCAGAACUGCCUUCGAUACUGAGAGUCUUGAGUCCGGGAGAGGUGAGUGGAACUCCUAGUGUAGAGGUGGAAUUCGUAGAUAUUAGGAAGAACACCAGUGGCGAAGGCGGCUCACUGGUCCGGUACUGACGCUGAGGUGCGAAAGCGUGGGGAGCAAACAGG